CUUUCUUUGCUGGCGACCGGCGCACGGGUGAGUAACACGUAUCCAACCUGCCCUUUACUCGGGGAUAGCCUUUCGAAAGAAAGAUUAAUACCCGAUAGCAUAAUGAUUCCGCAUGGUUUCAUUAUUAAAGGAUUCCGGUAAAGGAUGGGGAUGCGUUCCAUUAGGUUGUUGGUGAGGUAACGGCUCACCAAGCCUUCGAUGGAUAGGGGUUCUGAGAGGGAGGUCCCCCACAUUGGAACUGAGACACGGACCAA
rnacentral:rRNA from 1 species